AGUAAUUUGGUAUUUUCAGGAGUGUUCGGUUGAUAUUCGGAAUUAAGUCGGUUCUAUUCGAGACGAGUAACUCCGGAACACGAUGGGCUCGCGGGCGCACGAAAUCGGCGCUUUCAAAUGACGGCAGAUUUCCCCACUUUCGAAUGCAUUUCGCUUCCACGGUAACCAAAGGCGCGUUCUGUAAACAAUGCACUGCCGAUUGGCGCGAGCGCUGAAAUCAGACCACCAAAGCAGCACAAAUAUUGUAUCUGACGUUAAUAAAAAUCCAGGAUUCAAAAGAAAAUUUCAUUGUCUUUCUCAUGAGAACCUCUUUUUUCCCCCGUAAGUCCUCUGUUUUUCAGAAACUGACAAAACUCUCGAGCGUAUGAUUGUCAAUCGAUCAGAAUUUUCUGGCGAGUGGGAUAUCUACUCGAGCGUCCUCUGUAAAAACACGAGAAAAUAACCUAUUAAAUCAGACGAACAAACAAAACUUUCAUGAACGUUUUCUUUGUUAUGCUUCUCUGUGUAUAUGUCUUGAAAAUCAGCUCGUCUAACCUAAAGCUUUUCAAGUUAUUAAAGUUUUUGUGAGGUUCUCUAUUUCGCAUCUAGUCGAAAAAUGAGAUGGUUCGAGCGUAUAACGGGGAUCGAGCGAAUGAGUAUCGAUUUGAUAUCUAAAUGAGAUUUUUGGCCGAUAGUAUUUCGGCAGGGGAUCGAGUAACUAUUGAUCUGUCUUUCCGGAAAUUUCUCAGCCAAAGGACAAAAUGGCGACUGUUAAUCUCUGCUUUGAAGGGAGAAAUUUUCGCGCGCGUCCAGCGUUUCUCGAAGAUGUGACGAAUCCGCAAGGAUUGAAUGAGUAUGAUUUUCUUUUUUGAUUUUCAUUGAUUUAAAAAUCCUGAAAGAACAAAAUGUUUAAUAUAGAUUCAAGUAAACGUUCUAUAAAAUCCAUCGACUUUAGUUUGGUUUUUGUGAAGUUAUUAGCUUUCAAAGUCAGAGCAAGCGUAAUUCUCAGUCCACUUUGCCGUGGUUCCCAAUUGUUCAACCGUAGGCCCACUCUAUUUCAUAUAAUAUUCAUAAAUUCUUAUUUUGUUAUUUGAGAGUGUUUUUUGUACUUCACCCGCUAAAACCUGAACAGAGGGAAAUUUGUUUACUUAAGCUAUGUUCUUGUUAACUCUUCCAUCCUAAAUCAGCACAACUAAUUCAAAACAAACGAUAUUCCUGGAUUGAGUUUGCCCUUAGGGCUGGACCCUUCACAGAAUGUAGUUGUAGAAUAUCAUCUGAAGGCUGGAUGACACUUGCUUGUAGGUUUUUCCUUAGGUUUUAAUUUAACUUUUGGAAUGUGACAGGUCCAACAUCUAUUUUAUUUGUAUUAGUGCCUUCACAUAUGGAAAAAGGGUGCCCUUUACUUUGCUCCUAUUUCUUGAGUGACCUACUGUAUGGAGAACUUGGCAGGUAGGCAUGCUUGACCUCCCCCUCUUUAGCUAAAAAGAUUCAUUUGCAUAAAAAAAUAUAUGAGUACUUGGUAGCAGCUACUGCACAGCUGCUCUAGAAGCUAGACUAGGAAUUUGUCAAAUCAGUUGAGUAGACUAAUGUGUAGACAAAAACAAAAAGGACAGGCAUCACUUACGUUAUCAGGAACAUCCUAAAAAAUUGUCAUCAGUUUCUUGAAGCACUUUAACACCUCCUCAGUCUCAAAGAUUCUGUUUCUAUUUCCACUAGACUAUGGUCUCUACCACAGCGGUCCUUAGUCUUAGCCUAGUCUGACAGUAAGGACAGCUGCACAAAAUACUUUGACAUUGCAUCAAUGGUUAUGUAAAUGAUGUGUUUGUUCAUAACAAACCAAAAAUGAUUUUAGGACAUGUAAGGAAAACUAUGUUCACCUGUGGCUAUGCCAUCCUCUAUCACUUUUUGGUAAUUUGUGGUUCCUUCUUAUGAUUUUGAGAGUCGGGUAAACAAAAACCCCCAGGAUUCAAAAGAGGAUUAGUUUACACUAAGUUUGUUUUUGCCUUGCUUUCUAUUGCUCUUAAUGAUUUAUAUAGUAGGAGAUAGAAGUUUCGUUUCUAACUCUUCUUUUAUUGAUAAAUAACUCAAUAAUAAAGUUUUGCUGCUGUAAAAUUAAAGCAAGCUCUCCUGUACUCACUGUAUAGGGCACCAAUAACUAUCAAUCAAGUCUCACAACUCUUAAUUAAUAAAUACUCGGAAAAUCUAGGGGCAUAUAAUUUUUUAAUUGGUAUAGUUGAAUAUAUUUUGGUUGAUAUAGUUCUUUGGGUAUCAUGAACUAGAGUUAUCACCUUUUAUGGGAUUCACAAGAUAAGGCAUAGAAGAGAAAGAAGGCUAACAAGGACUUGGAAUAGCAAGUAAAAAUAAAGCUUUUUUAAGUAAAAGCAAUCCAGAAUAAUAAAAAUAGAGAAAUCAUAGAUUCCACUCAGACAAUAACAGGUAUUCUAAACCCUUGUACAGUUGUUAAUGAAAUACACCAGUACAAGCCAAGUAGCUUGGAAGGAUUUCAUGAAAAAGGUGGACUCAUGUAUCAAGGAUUUUUAUGACUGCUUCAAGCUGCAAAAGAGAAAUCUUCCAGAGACUCCUUCCUCGGGGAUCUGUCCCAUUGGGCCUCAAUUUUCGUUCCUAGAGAAACAAUCACAUUGCAACUUCUCUUGUGCAGCCUUGACAACAGAUUGGUAAGAAAAUAUGCGUCGCUCUUCUCGAACCCCGACAAAAUUAUUUCUUCAGAGAGACUCAAGCUUGUCAUAGAAGCUCAAUUUUUUGCUGCUUUGUUUUUUAUCUUCCACUAUUAGUUGUUUUCCUUUCUAAAUCCAAUAAUUUUGACAAGACUCCUUCGAACAGCCUUUGCCGCCAUUUUUAAUUCCGAGUGUUUUUGGAUGGAUAACCGCUGGUUUUUGCGGGCUCGCGAGAAUACGAAAGCGCCGAUUUUGACCACUUAUUAGCCCACCGUGGAAAA